ACAUAUUAUGUGAAAAAUUGUUUAUCCCCGUAUCGUUUACUCUGGAAAUUGUUGAUCCAACGAAGGAAGAUUUUAAAAUCUUAAAUGAACAAGGCUAUCGUGACCAAGUCAGUGAUAUUUUGAGCACUGGUAUAUAAACGAAAUAAUUUCUCAAUACACCGUUAGUAACUUGUUGAUCUGAGAAGGUGGCAAGUAUCGUUUUUAGUUAUUAACUUAUUACUAAUUUAUGUAUUUUAAUAAUAUUCAUAUAUUGAUACUACAAAUUGACCAAAGUGUCUGCAGUCUGGACACAUAUGAACGAAAAACGUUCAUUUAAUUCUGUCCACGGUUGCGCGUAUAAUUAUCUCAACUAUAGUCAAAGUAAAGAUCGAAAUUGCACGAAAGAUGAUCUGAUGAUUAACCUUCUGCGCCAGAAGCGCUUUGUCGCCUCCCACCAGAGAAAUAUAUAAUUAAACGCUCAGAACUGUAAAGUCGCAACUGCA
rnacentral:misc_RNA from 1 species